rnacentral:rRNA from 1 species
AACCUCAAAAACCGAAUCCCAGUUCGGAUUGCAGGCUGCAACUCGCCUGCAUGAAGUCGGAGUUGCUAGUAAUCGCAGAUUAGAAUGCUGCGGUGAAUGCGUUCCCGGGUCUUGUACACACCGCCCGUCACACCAUGGAAGUUGGGGGCGCCCGAAGUCGGUCGGGAGAUAGGCUGCCUAAGGUGAAACCAAUGACUGGGGUGAAGUCGUAACAAGGUACC